GUUGUGCCAGUGCCGUGACUACAUGCCGUACAACUUGCCGGACCAGCCCGGACUAGGACCAUGCCGAAAUUGGUGUCUCAUGUCAAGCACACACACAAGAAAAGGCGAUGCAGCAUUUGCAGCACAUCACUUCACGGUAUAUGUGAAAGCAUACUUCGGCAAAUAAGGAAUGCAUCAGAAGGACACCACGGGACGCUUCAGAGUCUGGAUGUACCAUAUCUGAUGAAAAUCUUGCACCACAGAGGCUGCUCGAUGGAUGGAUUACAACCCUGAUGAAGCAGGGAAGUUCAAGGGAACAACAGGUGCACGACACUAUCAUUGCUAGACAAAAUUGAGUUUGAACAGAAAGAUGCCGCACAGGGAACGAGCAUGUCACUCAAACUGUUUGACCGGAAAACCUGGAGCAAGAGGAAACUUCCGCACAAGACUACAAAAAAAAGUAGACUUAGAAGUCCAUGUAUACGGGAGAGCACCUUUGGUGGAAGAGGCUUGUCGGCCGACACUGUUAUUUGAUUCACCUUGGGGUUGACAGUUUUGUUCCUGAGAACUUCAUGUGCGUACAGCGGGGCAGAAUCAACAACAAGUUAGUCAACAAUUUGAUGCAGCCUUUCUGGACACAAGAUGGAACGGCGACUAGUUGCUAUUCAGGGCAACCGUAGCAGAGAGCAGGCAUUCAUGCGCUCGUCACAGGCAACACCAGAGAAGUUGGACUCCAUUACAUAAAUGGCAUGCCACAUUGAGGGCCACCAGACUGACCUUGUAAAAGAAGCAAAGCUAGAACUAGUCAGGUGAAUCUUUGGAGAUUUGGUUUUGGAGAUGUUGCCCAGCAAGGCAAAAACAGAAAAGUGACACAAUAAAGAAAAUAAAUCUGGGAAUAGUGAA